rnacentral:rRNA from 1 species
AGUGAACGCUGGCGGUAGGCCUAACACAUGCAAGUCGAACGGCAGCACAGGAGAGCUCGCUCUCUGGGUGGCGAGUGGCGGACGGGUGAGGAAUACAUCGGAAUCUACUCUGUCGUGGGGGAUAACGUAGGGAAACUUACGCUAAUACCGCAUACGACCUACGGGUGAAAGCAGGGGAUCUUCGGACCUUGCGCGAUUGAAUGAGCCGAUGUCGGAUUAGCUAGUUGGCGGGGUAAAGGCCCACCAAGGCGACGAUCCGUAGCUGGUCUGAGGGGAUAGUCAGCCACACUGGAACGGAGACACGGUCCAGACUCCUACGGGAGGCAGCAGUGGGGAAUAUUAGACAAUGGGCGCAAGCCUGAUCCAGCCAUACCGCGUGGGUGAAGAAGGCCUUCGGGUUGUAAAGCCCUUUUGUUGGGAAAGAAAUCCAGCUGGCUAAUACCCGGUUGGGAUGACGGUACCCAAAGAAUAAGCACCGGCUAACUUCGUGCCAGCAGCCGCAGUAA